GCGCCCUUAGCGCAGCUGGAUAGAGUGGCUGACUACGAAUCAGAAGGUUGAAGGUUCACAUCCUUCAGGGCGCA
rnacentral:tRNA from 1 species